rnacentral:tRNA from 1 species
UGUGACAUAGCUUAGUGGUAGAGCACUUGCCUAAUAUGCAAAAGGUCUUGUGUUCAAUUCCCAGCACCAUGA